UGGGGAAUAUUGCACAAUGGGCGCAAGCCUGAUGCAGCCAUGCCGCGUGUAUGAAGAAGGCCUUCGGGUUGUAAAGUACUUUCAGUCGGGAGGAAGGUGUCAAGGUUAAUAACCUUGGCAAUUGACGUUACCGACAGAAGAAGCACCGGCUAACUCCGUGCCAGCAGCCGCGGUAAUACGGAGGGUGCAAGCGUUAAUCGGAAUUACUGGGCGUAAAGCGCACGCAGGCGGUUGAUUGAGUCAGAUGUGAAAUCCCCGGGCUUAACCCGGGAAUUGCAUCUGAUACUGGUCAGCUAGAGUCUUGUAGAGGGGGGUAGAAUUCCAGGUGUAGCGGUGAAAUGCGUAGAGAUCUGGAGGAAUACCGGUGGCGAUGGCGGCCCCCUGGACGAAGACUGACGCUCAGGUGCGAAAGCGUGGGGAGCAAACAGG
rnacentral:rRNA from 1 species